rnacentral:tRNA from 1 species
GCCUGGGUGGCUCAGUCGGUUGAGCAUCUGACUUCGACUCAGGUCAUGAUUUCGCAGUCCGUGAGUUCAAAGCCCCGUGUCAGGCU